rnacentral:rRNA from 1 species
GACAGAGGGUGCGAACGUUGUUCGGAAUUACUGGGCGUAAAGCGCGUGUAGGCGGUUUGGCAAGUCGGAUGUGAAAGCCCAGGGCUCAACCCUGGAAGUGCACUCGAAACUGCCGAACUGGAGUCCCGGAGAGGAAGGCGGAAUUCUCGGUGUAGAGGUGAAAUUCGUAGAUAUCGAGAGGAACACCUGUGGCGAAGGCGGCCUUCUGGACGGUGACUGACGCUGAGACGCGAAAGCGUGGGGAGCAAACAGG